UUUUCUCGAGGUUUGGAAAGUCCUUGAAGUGAUGAUGUGGAUCGACACAUGUAUCUGCCUUCCUUUGACCUUACUGAUGAUCUACUGUGUGUGUUGUGUGGUGCGAAGGAGUCCAGUCCCUGUCAUCUAUUACACAAACCUCCUCACCUCUAAUCUAAUCCAGAUCUGCAUAAUGAUUGUUUGGAUAUUAAGAAUAAGCAGUAGCAUAGCUGCUGUUAUUCACUUCUCGUGUGUGAUGGCCAGUCUGUACUUCAGGAUGUGCGUUGCUCUGGAAAGGUGUUUAUACAUCACAUAUCCACUGUUGGACUGUCUCAAAGAAACACAGAGUUCUGUGCUGGUCUGUGUUCUGGUCUGGGCUUUUUGUAUAGUCAGUGUCCCUCUUGCCACAGUCUUACAUGAAUUAGAACGUUUAAUUAUUUAUGCCGCCCUCCCUGGCCCCCUGUUCAUGUUCUGCUUAGCUCGGACCUUCAGAGCCCUGCCUGCUGCCACCUCAGUGCCCACUGAGGAGAAACGUCGAAGUCUAGGAAUUUUGAUUCUGUUGUUCUUUUACUACUUUCUAUUAAUCGUUCCCACAAUCAUCUCUCGUUACAUCUUUAUCAUCUUUUCUUUGCUCAGUCCUUUUGUGGACCUGAUUCUGUUUCUUUUUCAUGCG